rnacentral:misc_RNA from 1 species
AGCAGCCGCGGUAAUUCCAGCUCCAAUAGCGUAUAUUAAAGUUGUUGCAGUUAAAAAGCUCGUAGUUGAAUUUCGGGGUUAGUAGGUUGGUCAUGCCUCUGGUAUGUACUGGUCUCACUGAUUCCUCCUUCCUGAUGAGCCGUAAUGCCAUUAAUUUGGUGUUGCGGGGAAUUUGGACUGUUACUUUGAAGAAAUUAGAGUGUUUAAAGCAAGCUAACGCUUGAAUACAUUAGCAUGGAAUAAUGAAAUAGGACGUUCGAUCCUAUUUUGUUGGUUUCUAGGAUUGACGUAAUGAUUAAUAGGGAUAGUUGGGGGCAUUAGUAUUCAAUUGUCAGAGGUGAAAUUCUUGGAUUUAUUGAAGACUAACUACUGCGAAAGCAUUUGCCAAGGAUGUUUUCAUUAAUCAAGAACGAAAGUUAGGGGAUCGAAGACGAUCAGAUACCGUCGUAGUCUUAACCAUAAACUAUGCCGACUAGGGAUCGGAUGAUGUUAAU